rnacentral:rRNA from 1 species
AUUGAACGCUGGCGGCAUGCCUUACACAUGCAAGUCGAACGGCAGCACGGGAGCAAUCCUGGUGGCGAGUGGCGAACGGGUGAGUAAUACAUCGGAACGUACCUGGUAGUGGGGGAUAGCCCGGCGAAAGCCGGAUUAAUACCGCAUACGACCUGAGAGUGAAAGCGGGGGAUCGCAAGACCUCGCGCUAUUGGAGCGGCCGAUGGCAGAUUAGGUAGAUGGUGGGGUAAAGGCCUACCAAGCCUACGAUCUGUAGCUGGUUUGAGAGGACGACCAGCCACACUGGGACUGAGACACGGCCCAGACUCCUACGGGAGGCAGCAGUGGGGAAUUUUGGACAAUGGGCGCAAGCCUGAUCCAGCCAUGCCGCGGGCGGGAAGAAGGCCUUCGGGUUGUAAACCGCUUUUGUCAGGGAAGAAAUACUCUGGGCUAAUACCCUGGGGUGAUGACGGUACCUGAAGAAUAAGCACCGGCUAACUACGUGCCAGCCGCCGCCGUAAUAC